UACGUAGGGACCGGGCGUUGUCCGGAAUCAUUGGGCGUAAAGAGCGUGUAGGCGGCCACUUAAGUCCUGCGUGAAAUCUUGCGGCUCAACCGCAAGCGGUCGUGGGAAACUGGGUGGCUAGAGUGCGGGAGAGGAGAGUGGAAUUCCUGGUGUAGCGGUGGAAUGCGCAGAUAUCAGGAAGAACACCCGUGGCGAAGGCGGCUCUCUGGAACGCAACUGACGCUGAGGCGCGAAAGCGUGGGGAGCAAACAGG
rnacentral:rRNA from 1 species